rnacentral:rRNA from 1 species
UACGUAGGGGGCAAGCGUUGUCCGGAAUCACUGGGCGUAAAGCGCGCGCAGGCGGCUAUCUACGUCCGGGGUGAAAGUCCAGAGCUCAACUCUGGGACUGCCUUGGAUACGGGAUCGCUUGAGGAUCGGAGAGGCAAGGGGAAUUCCACGUGUAGCGGUGAAAUGCGUAGAGAUGUGGAGGAACACCUGUGGCGAAGGCGCCUUGCUGGCCGAUUUCUGACGCUGAGGCGCGAAAGCGUGGGGAGCAAACAGG